UUGAGCUGUAUGCCGGGAAACUGGCCCGUACAGUUCUUAGGGGGCGGGGUGGCAGCAAUGCCGCCCUGCUACCCGAC
rnacentral:ncRNA from 1 species